rnacentral:lncRNA from 1 species
CUUUUUUUUUUUUUUUUUUAAGAUUUUAUUUAUUUGUGAGAGAUACAGAGAGUGAGGCAGAGACACAGGUUGAGGGAGAAGCAGGCUGGCUCCCUGUGGGGAACCUUGAUCCUGGGACUCAGGGAUCAUGCCCUGAGUGGAAUGCAGACACUCAACCACUGAGCCACCCAGGCAUCCCUAGCCUCAAGCUUCUAUUUUUUUUUUUUCCUAGCCUCAUGCUUCUAAUAAAGUCAUCUUUAUACUCUUGAGAUGAUUAAUCUAUGAUCCCUUAAUAAAAGUCUUUUUUAAUGAAAAAAUUCAUUUCAUAAAGAACCAUAUUAUCUUUUUAAGAUCAUUUUUAUCAUUAUUCUGCAGACUGGUAAAAACGUUUUUAAUGGGGGCCUGUUCUAAGCUGCUAUAGCCUCAGUACUAGUGCGGUUCUUCUAGAAUUCUCUCUUCAUUCCCUCUGAUGAAAUCCACAAAGUCAAGCUGACAUCUUUUCCUGGUUCAAAACCACUCCCCUCUGCUAAACCUAUCACCAUGUUUCUCUUUCCUGUUGGAGGUAAAAUGCUCAGCUCCCUGCACCCAGUAAGGAACUGGUCUUUUCUCUGCCACACUUCUGCCCAAUUUGAGUAAAAUGACAUAUGUACUUUAUUUCUGGAACUCAAAGCUAAAUGAAGCCACAGGAGAAAAAUACAGAGCAUUGCAUAGCAUUCUGAGGAGGGGUGUUAUCUUUUGUUAGAAAUACAGGGGAUGGAGGGUGCCAGUAAAUGGCUAACAACUGGAUCUGCAGGGGAAGCCGAUUUCUAUGAUGUAACUAUUCCCACCAUGACUGAUUUCUAGCUACCAGUGUGAUGUCACUGACUGGAUUGACCAGAGUGCAAUUGGGUAGAGAUAUGCAGUGGUAUACCAUGACAUAGGAUUUGCAUCAUUCAGAUUCAGGUGGAAUCUCAAGAUCAGAGAUAAUAGUAAAAUGUAGUAACAAUUAAUAUGUGAUGAAUCUUGAGUAUUUAUUACCUUUGUUUUAAAUAUAAUUUAUUUAACUAUGUUUAUAUGAUUUAGUCUUUAAUAUUAACUGUGUUUAGCAACUGGCUCACAGGGGCACCUGGAUGGCUCAGUCCAGUAAGCAUCAGACUCUUGAUUUCAGCUCAGGUCAUGAGAUCCAGUCCCAGGUUUGGACUCUAUACUCAGAUUCUGCUUGAGAUUCUCUCUUUCCCCCUACCCCAUUGUGUGCUCUCUCUCUCUUAAGAAAACAAAAUAAAACAAAACAAAACCAACUGGCUCACAAAAUCCCUGAAAUCUAACAAUGGGUUUUUGUGAGGCAGUGCCACGGGGCUUUAGUGUACCACUGAUGUAGACAUACAUUGAGCAGGAGACUGUUCACCUAUACAUUUUAAGUAGGAAUAUGUAUCAUGAAAAAACUUCCUAAGGUGAUGGCUGUAGGGAUCUGCCACUAGAGUUUUAGGGAUACAAUCAAACAUAUUUAAAAUCAUGUUUUCUUCUGAGACAUCUGGGUUUUCUUUGGAGGCUCCCAUCCUGAUGUUGACCUUACUCAAAGCUACUCAACUUGCAAAUUCUAGUGGGCUUGUAGCCAGAGGUGGUAUAGCUUCCAGCAUAGUUCACUUUCAUACUUAAGUCAAGAGGGGGAUGACCCUGUUAUUCAGAAUCACUGUUACACGUGAGUGAAAAGUAAUGGGGUUAUAUUUUACUUGCUUUAACUACAUUUAGAUUUAAAUGAGCAUAAUUUCCUAAAACAAUAACAUAAAUCCCAGAGAAGAAAACCUGCCACUUGCAGGAAUGCAAAGCCAGAAUAAAGCAUUUCAAUAUCUCCCUUCAAUAUCUCCUUUUCUACUUUAGCUGGGUGGUUAGUCUUCUGACAACCCAAAAUAUUAUUUUAAGAGCUUGAGACACAGGGAGAGGGCAUAGACAACCCAAGAGAAAAGGUUACAAUCACAGUUUGGUGAAGAGAAAACACUCUCACAAAGAUAAUAUGCCAUGACAUAUUGUAUUGAAGUGUGGCUUUCCAUGAGAAAUUCCACAUCACAAGGUUCUCAUGUAAUACAGGACUAAAGUCUCCCCUAAUCUCCAAAUCCAGUGUCUAAGUGCUAGCAUAACCUGCUGUGAAACAAGGCUCUUACAUAAAUCCUGCAUGCUGUCAUAUUUCAGCUACAAAGGAGAUUAUAUCUGCCAGGAUAAUUCCCAACAAGGAAAGUUACAGAAAAAGUAAAUAGAAUUUUCUCCCUCCACAGAACACCCAGCCCAUCUCUUACAUGUAGAUAAGGUUUUGCCACAUGUAGACUGACCAUUUUUGGGUUAAAGAGCCCAUGCAGAGAUUUGAUGUUUAAAGAGAAAAAGAAAAUGAAAAUUAUGUGACACACUCUGUAGGGGAUAUUUUGAGAGCUAACUUGGGAUGGUUUAUCUAAAAUGCAUG